rnacentral:rRNA from 1 species
UGGGGAAUAUUGGGCAAUGGGCGCAAGCCUGACCCAGCAACGCCGCGUGAAGGAAGAAGGCUUUCGGGUUGUAAACUUCUUUUGGCAGGGACGAAAUAAAUGACGGUACCUGCAGAAUAAGCUCCGGCUAACUACGUGCCAGCAGCCGCGGUAAUACGUAGGGAGCAAGCGUUAUCCGGAUUUACUGGGUGUAAAGGGCGCGUAGGCGGGAAUGCAAGUCAGAUGUGAAAUCUGGGGGCUCAACCCCCAAGCUGCAUUUGAAACUGUAUUUCUUGAGUGAUGGAGAGGCAAGUGGAAUUCCUAGUGUAGCGGUGAAAUGCGUAGAUAUUAGGAGGAACACCAGUGGCGAAGGCGACUUGCUGGACAUUAACUGACGCUGAGGCGCGAAAGCGUGGGGAGC